AAACCCAGCCUGUUUGGGGCACUGCAGCAUUCCCUGGCCCCAGGGGCAUCUGCACACAGCCACUCCUGUUGGCUUUGCUGCUCCCUGAACACCAAAGCCUUUGUCAGGGAGCUCUGUGAAGACCCAGGAGAGGCAGCAGCCAUGAAGAUCCUGUUCCUGAUCUUCCCCCUGAUUUUCCUGUUGGUCCAGGGUGCUGCAGGGAAUGCAGCUCGAUGCAGGCGACGAGGGGGAUACUGCAGCUUUGAUGGCUGCAUCUCCCAGACAAAACCUAUUGGAAGAUGUUCAUCAGUCAGUCUGUGCUG